GAUGAACGCUGGCGGCGUGCUUAACACAUGCAAGUCGAACGAAGCACUUUUGAUUGAUUUCUUCGGAAAGAGAGAGACUGUGACUGAGUGGCGGACGGGUGAGUAACGCGUGGGUAACCUGCCUCAUACAGGGGGAUAACAGUUAGAAAUGACUGCUAAUACCGCAUAAGCACACAGCUUCGCAUGAAGCAGUGUGAAAAACUCCGGUGGUAUGGGAUGGACCCGCGUCUGAUUAGGUAGUUGGUGGGGUAACGGCUCACCAAGCCGACGAUCAGUAGCCGACCUGAGAGGGUGACCGGCCACAUUGGGACUGAGACACGGCCCAAACUCCUACGGGAGGCAGCAGUGGGGAAUAUUGCACAAUGGGGGAAACCCUGAUGCAGCGACGCCGCGUGAAGGAUGAAGUAUUUCGGUAUGUAAACUUCUAUCAGCAGGGAAGAAAAUGACGGUACCUGACUAAGAAGCC
rnacentral:rRNA from 1 species